GAUGAACGCUGGCGGCGUGCCUAAUACAUGCAAGUCGAGCGAACAGACGAGGAGCUUGCUCCUCUGACGUUAGCGGCGGACGGGUGAGUAACACGUGGAUAACCUACCUAUAAGACUGGGAUAACUUCGGGAAACCGGAGCUAAUACCGGAUAAUUUAUUGAACCGCAUGGUUCAAUAGUGAAAGACGGUUUUGCUGUCACUUAUAGAUGGAUCCGCGCCGCAUUAGCUAGUUGGUAAGGUAACGGCUUACCAAGGCAACGAUGCGUAGCCGACCUGAGAGGGUGAUCGGCCACACUGGAACUGAGACACGGUCCAGACUCCUACGGGAGGCAGCAGUAGGGAAUCUUCCGCAAAGGGCGAAAGCCUGACGGAGCAACGCCGCGUGAGUGAUGAAGGUCUUCGGAUCGUAAAACUCUGUUAUUAGGGAAGAACAAAUGUGUAAGUAACUAUGCACGUCUUGACGGUACCUAAUCAGAAAGCCACGGCUAACUACGUG
rnacentral:rRNA from 1 species